CUUAGACGAACGCUGGCGGCGUGCCUAAUACAUGCAAGUCGAGCGAAUGAAGAGGAAGCUUGCUUCUUCUGAGUUAGCGGCGGACGGGUGAGUAACACGUGGGCAACCUACCUUGUAGCUGGGGAUAACUCCGGGAAACCGGGGCUAAUACCGAAUAAUCAGUUGUACCUCCUGGUACAACUCUGAAAGACGGUUUCGGCUGUCACUACAAGAUGGGCCCGCGGCGCAUUAGCUAGUUGGUAAGGUAACGGCUUACCAAGGCAACGAUGCGUAGCCGACCUGAGAGGGUGAUCGGCCACACUGGGACUGAGACACGGCCCAGACUCCUACGGGAGGCAGCAGUAGGGAAUCUUCCACAAUGGACGAAAGUCUGAUGGAGCAACGCCGAGUGAGUGAAGAAGGUUUUCGGAUCGUAAAACUCUGUUGUAAGGGAAGAACAAGUACGUGAGUAUCUGCACGUACCUUGACGGUACCUUAUUAGAAAGCCACGGCUAACUACGUGCCAGC
rnacentral:rRNA from 1 species